CCUUUGGGGUUUUGGUUCUCUUAAUGAUUGUACUAGAAUGUUUGUGUGAUUGAUAUGCAGGUGUUACUCUUGGGGCAAGUUUAUAUGGAGAAAAAUGUGCAUCAAGUUCAGCUGAUGGGAUCGAGAAUCAGGACAUGGUGUUGUGUCAAGGCAUGAAGCAUUGGAACGUGCAAGGAGACACAAUGUUGAUUUAGUUGAGGACCAUGAGGAAUGUCAUGGAAAAACUGGAAAGAGACUUGAUGUUAUCAACCACAUGGUUCUGUGGGGAAAGCUGCAAGGAGGAAUUCAUUGUUAUGUGCAAAUUUGUUGUGGGCUUAAGCCGGCAAUUUAUCAGAUCGGUCAUACCUUCUGA